rnacentral:rRNA from 1 species
ACUGCGAGUGAAGCGGGAAAAGCUCAAAUUUAAAAUCUGGCGGUCCUUGGCCGUCCGAGUUGUAAUCUAGAGAAGUGUUAUCCGCGCUGGACCGUGUACAAGUCUCCUGGAAUGGAGCGUCAUAGAGGGUGAGAAUCCCGUCUUUGACACGGACUGCCAGGGCUUUGUGAUGCGCUCUCAAAGAGUCGAGUUGUUUGGGAAUGCAGCUCAAAAUGGGUGGUAAAUUCCAUCUAAAGCUAAAUAUUGGCGAGAGACCGAUAGCGAACAAGUACCGUGAGGGAAAGAUGAAAAGAACUUUGGAAAGAGAGUUAAACAGUACGUGAAAUUGCUGAAAGGGAAACGCUUGAAGUCAGUCGCGUUGGCCGGGGAUCAACCUUGCUUUUGCUGGGCGUACUUUCCGGUUGACGGGUCAGCAUCAAUUUUGACCGUUGGAUAAAGUUCAGGGGAAUGUGGCAUCUUCGGAUGUGUUAUAGCCCUUGKUCGCAUACAACGGUUGGGAUUGAGGAACUCAGCACGCCGCAAGGCCGGGUACUUGUACCACGUUCGUGCUUAGGAUGCUGGCAUAAUGGCUUUAAUCGACCCGUCUUGAAACACGGACCAAGGAGUCUAACAUGCCUGCGAGUGUUUGGGUGGAAAACUCGGACGCGUAAUGAAAGUGAAAGUUGAGAUCCCUGUCGUGGGGAGCAUCGACGCCCGGACCAGACCUUUUGUGACGGAUCCGCGGUAGAGCAUGUAUGUUGGGACCCGAAAGAUGGUGAACUAUGCCUGAAUAGGGUGAAGCCAGAGGAAACUCUGGUGGAGGCUCGUAGCGAUUCUGACGUGCAAAUCGAUCGUCAAAUUUGGGUAUAG